GGCCUCUUAACUCAGUUGGUUAGAGUAUCACGUUAACAGGAUUACAAAGCCUGAAAACGGUUGAUCCGUGAAAGUCCCCGGUUCGAGUCCGGGAGAGGUCA